rnacentral:rRNA from 1 species
GACGAACGCUGGCGGCGUGCUUAACACAUGCAAGUCGAACGGUGACCCAGGGCUUGCCCUGGUGAUCAGUGGCGAACGGGUGAGUAACACGUGGACAACCUGCCCCUGACUUCGGGAUAACUCCUCGAAAGAAGAGCUAAUACCGGAUACGACCACUUCGGACAUCCGAUGGUGGUGGAAAGUUUUUCGGUCAGGGAUGGGCCGCGGCCUAUCAGCUAGUUGGUGGGGUAAUGGCCUACCAAGGCGACGACGGGUAGCCGGCCUGAGAGGGCGACCGGGCCACACUGGGACUGAGACACGGCCCAGACUCCUACGGGAGGCAGCAGUGGGAAUAUUGCGCGAAUGGGCGAAAG